UACGGAGGGUGCAAGCGUUAAUCGGAAUUACUGGGCGUAAAGCGUGCGCAGGCGGUUUGUUAAGUCCGUUGUGAAAGCCCCGAGCUCAACUUGGGAAUUGCAGUGGAUACUGGCAGGCUGGAGUACGGUAGAGGAGAGUGGAAUUCCCGGUGUAGCGGUGAAAUGCGCAGAUAUCGGGAAGAACACCCGUGGCGAAGGCGGCUCUCUGGGACGGUACUGACGCUGAGACGCGAAAGCGUGGGGAGCGAACAGG
rnacentral:rRNA from 1 species